ACUGAAUAUGUCGUAUUACGUCGUAUAAUAUCAGGGAUAUGGCCUGAAAGUUUCUACCGAGCUGCCGUAAAUAGCUUGACUACGAGGUAAAUGUUUAUAGGG
rnacentral:ncRNA from 17 species